rnacentral:rRNA from 1 species
UACGUAGGUGGCAAGCGUUAUCCGGAUUUACUGGGUGUAAAGGGCGUGUAGGCGGUUUUGCAAGUCAGAUGUGAAAUCUCCGGGCUUAACCCGGAAACUGCAUCUGAAACUGCAGAACUUGAGUACUGGAGAGGAUAGUGGAAUUCCUAGUGUAGCGGUAAAAUGCGUAGAUAUUAGGAGGAACACCAGUGGCGAAGGCGACUAUCUGGACAGUAACUGACGCUGAGGCGCGAAAGCGUGGGGAGCAAACAGGAUUAGAUACCCCCGUAGUCCCU